rnacentral:rRNA from 1 species
UACGUAGGGGGCAAGCGUUGUCCGGAUUUACUGGGCGUAAAGAGCGUGUAGGCGGCCAGGCAGGUCUGUUGUGAAAACUGGAGGCUCAACUUCCAGACGUCGACAGAAACCGCUUGGCUAGAGUCCGGAAGAGGAGAGUGGAAUUCCUGGUGUAGCGGUGAAAUGCGCAGAUAUCAGGAAGAACACCGAUGGCUAAGGCAGCUCUCUGGGACGGUACUGACGCUGAGACGCGAAAGCGUGGGGAGCGAACAGG